GAUGGUACUAGCUAUAUAAGAGGCAAGAAGCCGCCAAUGUUACAAGUAGCAAUUGUAUUAGUUAUAUAAGAGGCAAGGAGCCAACAAUAUUAUAAGCCGCAGUGUAUUAGUUAUAUUAUAAUCAUCAAUUAUAUUAGUGAGUAAAGAGGCAAGGAGCCACGAAAGUUAUAA